AGUCUGGCGGGAGCCGUCCCUGGAUGGGGGUCACUAGCCUCCCCAUUGUGACUCGUUUGAGCUCUUAGCCAGGCGUGUAGUCUGGCGGGAGCCGUCGCGGCUGGCUCGGCAGCUCCAGGCUAUUCCGAGGAACAGUCUUCAGAGAGCCUGGGGUGCUGAUGGGGAAAAGCUGUUGCUGAGAUUUGACAAGUUUGGUCCUGAGAUGUCAGAAAGGAUUUCAGCUCUUCUGCCACCCCAAGGACGGUGGCGCGUAAAUCACAGUGAGCUGGCUUAUGUCAGGUCAACUGUGGAAUUUGAUCCUAGCGCAUUGCUCCCUCCUCUUCCUUGCCUGCGUCUCUCCCUCUCUCAGCUCUAGUUUGAGAUCAGCACAGAUUCCCUGGGUGAUUUUUGAGAAAACUGCCUCCUCUUUAGGACUUGGCAUCCCCUAACCUGCAUCAGGAAAGGGUGGCGACAGAUACUCUCACACCCAGGGAGGCUGCAAGGCCCACCCUCUACCCUCCACCUGGGUUCUCUGGCGUCGAGACUUGUGCCCUACAGUUCUGGGCCGUUGGGGUGAUGUCCCAGUGGGACCAGGGUGAGGGUGCAGGUAUCUGAGGGAGUAGUAGGACCAGAACCUCUAACCUUAGGGAGGCUUCCUGGGAGCCAAGCUUGGUGACUUAGAAUGUGAAUGUCUGACCCAUAUCCCACUACCUUUUGGUGGGUGCUGCAGAGGACAAUGGAGAGAGAGUCAACUCUGAAGAGUGGUCUUGUGGAAGAGGCAGCUGGCUGGUUCAGUGUGGCACUGGCAGCCUCCCUAAGGUUCCCAGGUAGAAGUUUCUGACAGGUAGAUUUCAGCUGUGUUUAAGGAAGAACUUUGAAGUUGUCAGAAUGAGCGGUCUUGUGAUAGUGAGCUCCCUGUCUCCAGAGGCAUGCAAGCAGGACACUUUCACAUAUGCAUUCAAGAUGACCUAUGCAAGGCGUUGUGCUAAGUGCUAGGAGUGCAGAGGAGAACGAGACCCAGUGGGGAAACAGGCACUUGCAAUGCUGCUGUGAGUGUGAGCAGAGAAGGACAUGUUGCAGAAGAAAUGCAAGUACAGUGAAGAAUAAGACUGGGGAACUUUUACAAUUCAGAGUGGCCUUCACUGUGGGCGGUCCGAAUUGAUCCCUGUAUACAGAGGACAAUGAAUCCAGGCAGUGAUCCACCAAUGAUAACUAACAUCAUAAAAAGAUACAUGGCCGGAUAUGAUGUUCCUUCUGACGGAAGACCACAACACCUGCUGAAAAAUCAAAUCUGAAUCGGAUCAAGCCUCUAGAGGAGGCAGCACCCAGGGUCAUUCCUGGAGCAUAAACGAUCCCUGCAGAACAUGGGCUAGAAGACCCCACAGUGGGGCAGAGGCAGGUCCUGGACUGGGAUCCCAGCAGUGAGAAGACCUGGACAUCAACCCUAUUUCAUUGUGCCUCUGCAAAUCUCCCAACUUUUGGAGCUGUAGCUGCAAGCUCAGACUUGUGGUUUCCUGUACCUGGAGGAGGCCCAGGUCAUUCUGUUAAGUCCCUUGUCUAUUUCCUGCUUUUAUCUGGAUGCUGAGUUAAUUAUUUGAUCCAACAAUAAAACUAACAAGGUU
ensembl:lncRNA LINC00642 long intergenic non-protein coding RNA 642